UACGAAGGGGGCUAGCGUUGCUCGGAUUGACUGGGCGUAAAGGGCGCGUAGGCGGUUCGUACAGUCAGACGUGAAAUUCCUGGGCUCAACCUGGGGGCUGCGUUUGAUACGUGCGGACUUGAGUGCGGAAGAGGGUCGUGGAAUUCCCAGUGUAGAGGUGAAAUUCGUAGAUAUUGGGAAGAACACCGGUGGCGAAGGCGGCGACCUGGUCCGAUACUGACGCUGAGGCGCGAAAGCGUGGGGAGCAAACAAG
rnacentral:rRNA from 1 species